AGGGUUCCUGGCACAGUGAUUU
rnacentral:miRNA from 1 species